GUUUUCUUCCCGGGUCUAGUCCCCUGGCUCAGAGCUCGCGAGAGCCGCGAAUGCGCCUGCCGCCUCUCCACGGCUCCAGGUGGGACCUUGCAGCUCCAGGCAGCACUCCAGCCCCUCAUCUAGCCUUCCUCGGGGCCCACUGUCCUUACUGUGUAAUAGCCAAAAGAGAAGAUGAUGACAGUAACCCAGAACAGACUGCUCCUCUGGAAUCACUAAGUCGUGUACAACUCUUUGUGACUCCAUGGACUGUGAGGAAGGAGGAAACAGACAGAACAGGCUCCAUCUUGAAAGCAGGACUCCAUCUUGGACUGGACUGUGAACUUUGAGCUAUAUGCCCAGAUCUAUGGAAAUGGCAUACCAACUGGAAAACCAGACCCCCACCCCCUCAGCCAAUGGAACAGCCCCAGGGCUCAUACCUAGACUCACUGUUGCCUAAAAGAAUACCCUAAUUAUCUGUGUAACCAAAUAGAAUCAUAAAUUCUAUUAUGCUUAUUGGGCUAUGACCACAGGCCUAUUGAUAAUUGUCCACUGUUAACUACCUAGGCUUAAGACUUAUGAAUCACAGGUUAACUUUGAUUGUAUCUUUCUUUUUCUUUGUUGAGGCUAGUUUCGGGGAAUGUGGGGAGGUGGGUUUGGGCACGUACACUUAGGGUAUAUAAGGUUUUCACAAUAACUGGUCAAGGUCCUUGGCUAAGAGGAGACUCUGCCUUGGGCCUGCUGGUGUAAUAAACCACUCCACUAUCUG